rnacentral:rRNA from 1 species
GACGAACGCUGGCGGCGCGCUUAACACAUGCAAGUCGAGCGAGAACCAGUCCUUCGGGACUGGGGAAAGCGGCGAACGGGUGAGUAACACGUGGGUAAUCUGCCCUCGGCACUGGGAUAGCCCGGGGAAACCCGGAUUAAUACCGGAUGUCCCCUCAGCCCCUCGGGGCGGUGGGAAAAGGUAGCUUCGGCCUCCGGCCGAGGAGGAGCCCGCGGCCGAUUAGCUUGUUGGCGGGGUAACGGCCCACCAAGGCGACGAUCGGUAGCUGGUGUGAGAGCAUGAUCAGCCACACUGGGACUGAGACACGGCCCAGACUCCUACGGGAGGCAGCAGUGGGGAAUCUUGCGCAAUGGGCGAAAGCCUGACGCAGCGACGCCGCGUGCGGGAAGAAGGCCUUCGGGUUGUAAACCGCUUUCAGGAGGGACGAAGCCACUCGGGUUAAUAGCCCAGAGGGUGACGGUACCUCCAGAAGAAGCCCCGGCUAACUACGUGCCAGCCGCCGCGGUAACAC